UCCAUUUUAUUUUCGACUUAAUAAAAUUGUAUUUUUUUUAUGCUGAUACAGCAAAUCAACAAAAAUAAGAAAUUGACCUAGAUUUUGAAAAAAAAAUAAUUUUCUUAAUAGUAUUAAAUUAAAUAAACUCAAAAUUGAAACUUAUGAGAAAAAUACUGUUAGUGGCGCAAGUUGGCAUAUAGAGGAAUAAAUUCAAGGAAAACUUCUUCAGGCUAGUUUUAUUUUUGUGCAUUUAAAAUAAAUCUAACAACGUGUGGGGAGAGAAUAUUGAGAAAAAUAACACAUACCAAUCACAAAAAUGAAGUCAUUAUACAGAAAAUUACUUAUAUAAGAACUUAUAACAAAAUAUUGAUAAUUGAACUUGAAUCAGAAUUAAACUACUAAGAAUAAAGAUAAACAUAUAAGGAGAGCUGGAAAGUGUUAGGUCAUUUGUAUCAGUUGUGUAAAAGAACGGUGGUAUUAACGAAGAUGCCAGACACGGGAUUAAGUGCGGGUAGUUGAACUGCAGAGAAGCGUCUGGUGUGUUAUACGAUAAAAUAAUUCCAAUGAAGCUGAAAGUGAACACUAUUCUGUCGAUUCAACCUGUUGUUAUUUAUCAGAAAAACUUUAAAUGCACGACAGAAGAGAAAAAUUCUAAAGCCUCUCUUUCAUAUGCUUUUUGGAUGACUACUAUCUACAAAAUUAUUUAUAUCGAAGAACACUUAAUAUUAAUAAUUAAGGCCU